rnacentral:pre_miRNA from 12 species
UUUUUAGUAUAAGUAUGUCUCAUGUAGUAUUUGAGAUAUACUUGCACUAAAA